CUCCGGCUCUUCUGACGGAGAGAGAGAACUAGCUAGCGGUUCCAGAGGAGACAGAUCCGAGUUUGAAAGAGAGAAGCUAGAUCGAUGGCAUCCAUGUUCGCAGGAGAACUUGUGGAGGCCUACGUGCUGAAGAACGCUUGCAGGGAGAAGAUGAAGACGGCCCAGGCAGACGCCGUUGGAGACGGCGCAGAGGCGAAGAAGGCCGGCAGCGGAAACGGGGCGGCAGAAGCAGAACAGAAGGAGCCUGACACCAGCAAGGGAAAGGGGCGAGGCUUCUUUGGGCUGCUGAAGAAGAUUUCUAUGCUCCGGGUUGCUCUGUCAUGGGCAUGGCUGCGUUAACGAGUACAUGGUUGGAUCCAAUUUGAAACCAAAAUGUGCCCACGUAUCUUCUACAUCGGGAGGAUCAAGCGCCGGCCGGCAGAUCUGCUCGAUCCUCGAUAUAGACGAAGGUCCCUGGAAAUUGUAUGUUGCUCUAUUGGACCAAGGGUCAUGCAAAAUUGACUAAUAUGCCCUCCUAAAUCAACGGUUAGAUUUAUUCGGUACUCCGGGUUCUCUUUAUGGAGUACCAGGGUACUGUAAAAAUAAUCUCUUCUUGAACUUAUAUAGCAACUGGAACUUGGUAGACACUUGCGCAUGGAUCGAUCGCUAGCUCUUGUAUAUCUGGUUCAGGCCUAAUUCGGUUGCACCAUUUCCGGCCGGUAAUGGAGUGGAUUGGGGAGAAAUUAAACUAAAUAUGAUCCAUUCCCCGUUGAUCCCCCCGGGAAUGGUAGAUCUUAGUUGUGUUCUUUCCCCUGUGUUUUUCCCCCUCUUCUUGCACACGGAGAACUAGUGAAAGUGUGCAAGUGUCACCAUUCUGAUGAUGUAUCAGUUUGUCCAUUGUUGUAAUUGGAUAAUUUGGUUAGUCGCUCUUAGUACAAAAUGAAAAUUCAAAGCACACUGCUUGUGAGUUGUUUUCCCUCUGUUCCUUCACCUGAAAACAGAGGUUGGAAUCUGAGACUCUGCACUAGAAUUUCCAUGACGUCCAGCCAAAUUGGACAAGCGUCGUUUCCUCAAAAAGCAAACAAUGAAUCCAUGUCCCAUCCUCAGUUCGGACAACUUUGAAGUCUAGCCGGCGCACCUCGAUCUCCACAAGUUCACUGUGAACGCAGUGUUUCAUUGAAACUUGGCAAGGAGAGACAGAUUUUCAGCACGGCAAGUGUUGUCUUCUGCGAAGGAAACCGAAAAAAAUCCUCUGAACAGAAGAAGGGACUUACCAAGGAUCAGGCGACUGAGUAAUAAACCUGCAUGUUUAUUCUGUGUUGAUGGUUUGUUUUUUUAUACUAGAGAAUUUAGGAACAGUGGAUUUGAAUGUCCA